rnacentral:rRNA from 1 species
UACGUAGGGUGCAAGCGUUAUCCGGAAUUAUUGGGCGUAAAGGGCUCGUAGGCGGUUCGUCGCGUCCGGUGUGAAAGUCCAUCGCUUAACGGUGGAUCCGCGCCGGGUACGGGCGGGCUUGAGUGCGGUAGGGGAGACUGGAAUUCCCGGUGUAACGGUGGAAUGUGUAGAUAUCGGGAAGAACACCAAUGGCGAAGGCGGGUCUCUGGGCCGUUACUGACGCUGAGGAGCGAAAGCGUGGGGAGCGAACAGG